rnacentral:rRNA from 1 species
UGACGGUACCCUACUAGAAAGGAGCCGCUAACUUCGUGCCAGAAGCGUCGGUAAUACGGGGGCUCCAAGCGUUAUCCGGUGUUAUUGGGCGUAAAGAGUCGUGUAGGUGGUUGGGUAAGUUAUCUUUCAAAUAUCUUUGCUUAACAAAGAGGAGGGGGAUAAUACUGCUCGACUAGAAUUUUCUCAGGGGAGAUCGGAACUGAGGGAGGAGUAGUGAAAUGCGUUGAUACCCUCGGGAACACCAGUGGCGUAGGCGGAUCUCUGGGAGAAGAUUGACACUGAGACACGAAAGCUAGGGGAGCGAAGCAGAUUAGAGACCUGCGUAGUCCUAGCCGUAAACGCAUGCUUGCUAGCUGCAUGAAUCUACCUUCGGGUGGUAUCGUGUGGCGAAGGUAACCCGUUAAGCAAGCCGCCUGGAAAGUACGGCCGCAAGGCUGAAAUUCAAAGGAAUUGGCGGGGAGGCACACAACCAGUGGAACAUGUGGUUUAAUUCGAGACUAACCGAAGAACCUCACCAGGGUUUGACAUGUAGCUGCACGUCUUAAGAAAUUAAGACUCUCUUGAAGGUGCUACACAGGUGCUGCAUGGCUGUCGUCAGCUCGUUCCGUGAGGAGUGCCCUUAAGUGGGACAACGAGCGCAACCCCUAUUACAUGUUAGAAAUGUCAUGUAAGACUGCCUUGCCAUUUGGCGGGGAGGAAGGAGGGGCAGACGUCAAGUCCGCAUGGUCCUUAUGCCCUGGGCUACACACAUGUUACAAUGAGUACGGCAAUGAGUCUGUCGCGAGCACGUAAGUGUAAGCUAAUCUCUUAAAUGUACUCUCAGUGGGGAUUGAGGUCUGCAACUCGACCUCAUGAACACGGAAUUGGUAGUAAUCGCGGGUCAGCUAUACCGCGGUGAAUACGUUCUUGCCUCUUGCACACACCGCCCGUCAAACCAGCAAAGUCGAUUGUAUCCGAACCU